rnacentral:rRNA from 1 species
CUACGGAGGGUGCAAGCGUUACUCGGAAUCACUGGGCGUAAAGCGCGCGCAGGCGGCUAUUUAAGUUGGAUGUGAAAGCCUAUGGCUCAACCAUAGAACUGCAUCCAAAACUAUUUAGCUAGAGUGUGGGAGAGGAAGAUGGAAUUAGUUGUGUAGGGGUAAAAUCCGUAGAGAUAACUAGGAAUACCAAAAGCGAAGGCAAUCUUCUGGAACACUUCUGACGCUGAGGCGCGAAAGCGUGGGGAGCAAACAGGAUUAGAAACCCUAGUAGUCC